CUCAAUGGUAGCGCAUAACGGGAAAGGUUACGCCCUUUGCCGUUUUCCUGUAAUAACGGUUUUCGAGCCCGUUAUGUGCUACCGCCCAA
rnacentral:antisense_RNA from 1 species